GUUAAUGUAGCUUAAAUUCUUUAAAGCAAAGCACUGAAAAUGCUUAGACGAGCUUUCCCGGCUCCAUAAACA
rnacentral:tRNA from 1 species